GACGAACGCUGGCGGCGUGCUUAACACAUGCAAGUCGAACGGAAAGGCCCUGCUUUUGUGGGGUGCUCGAGUGGCGAACGGGUGAGUAACACGUGAGUAACCUGCCCUUGACUUUGGGAUAACUUCAGGAAACUGGGGCUAAUACCGGAUAGGAGCUCCUGCUGCAUGGUGGGGGUUGGAAAGUUUCGGCGGUUGGGGAUGGACUCGCGGCUUAUCAGCUUGUUGGUGGGGUAGUGGCUUACCAAGGCUUUGACGGGUAGCCGGCCUGAGAGGGUGACCGGCCACAUUGGGACUGGGAUACGGCCCAGACGCCUACGGGAGGCAGCAGUGGGGAAUAUUGCACAAUGGGCGGAAGCCUGAUGCAGCAACGCCGCGUGCGGGAUGACGGCCUUCGGGUUGUAAACCGCUUUCGCCUGUGACGAAGCGUGAGUGACGGUAAUGGGUAAAGAAGCACCGGCUAACUACGU
rnacentral:rRNA from 1 species